CACAAGCAACAAAAGUUUGUGAUGUCAUGUAUUCCCUGCCACACCCUCCGUGCAUUGCUGCUAGACAGAUGGGACUCUAUCUGCAUCCUGUGGUCCGCCUUUGCUCUUUUUACUCCUCUCUUCAGGUCAGCUCUGGCAGCACUAUACAGAGCUCUGUCACCUGACCUGAAGGCAGCAUCGCAGGCCCUGAGGAGUGAGCGGACCUGGCUGGUCAUCCAGGGUUUCUGAUUUGGAAAAGCCCAGAUGGUUUUUGUCACAGUUACAUUCCCGAUGCAGAACUGAAUGUAGUCCAGAACCGUUCCCGUGUGUGUCUCCAGCUCAUGAUGUUCAAAG